rnacentral:lncRNA from 1 species
CCGACAAUAAAUCCUCCCACGUGAAGGCGGGGACGCUCUGUGGCAGCGUGUUGAUCCAGCUGUACGAUCAUUGUGGGAUAUGACGAUGAUGAGCUUAAGUUAUACAUGGAUGCGUUUCUGUAUCUUCAUUGAUAGAACUUUAUCUGCUGUGACUCGUUUAAAUCAAAGCAUGUUAAAAACUACAGCCGCAAACGCGUCAUCAUCACACGCCGCAUCCCAAUAAAUUUGACUUUAUUUACAGACGUUUAAGAUGAAUUCAACUGUCCCAACCUUUUAAUCGCUCCCGACUCGUAGACACACAGCAGCAGCACAUUCCUGCACCCAAACACUCCAACGUGACGCGCCGCAGGAGCGCCUCGCCCCAAUGCGUCCUUAGAGAUGACAAGGACUCUUAUUUUGGAGGGACGCUAUGAACAAACGCAAGUGGCAAAGAAGAAAACAAAAAAAAACAAGAACGGGUUCGGUGAGAUCUGAGCACGUGCCGCUCCCAUCAAACAUGGGAGAGAUUUGCAAGAUACCGUCCUUGUUUAAUAGGUGUCACGUCAGCUUGGAAACAUUAGGGAACAGGCGGCCAGGAGAGACUUCUUUUUCCAUCUGCGAGGCUCCAGACCAGCAAAGCUCGCGCCAGUGGAAUCCGGCGAAGCUUGGACGGGGCCCCUCGCGUGAUGCGGCGCCCAAAUAAGCCCUCCGAAACCCGGAAGGUGGCAGGAGUUUGGCGAGGGAGCGAAAGGGAGGGAGACGAGGGAGGAAACGGGGGACGAGGCGCGGAGGAGAAGAUGAGACGAGAGCAAUUAGAUUAAGUGUUGAAAUUAUGAGUGUCAUGAUGUGGAGUUAUGAGGAGAUGGAAUGAUGGUAUUUAGAACGUGAGCGAGAUGUUUCCCCUUCUUGAUUUACUGGCGUGAAUGGAACAUGAAGAAGAAGAAGAAGAAAAAAAAAGAAGAAGAAGAUAUGGUUUUGAAUAGUUUUCAUGAAAUACUCAAGAAAACAGUUAUUGUGGUUUUGAGUUUAGCAUCAGCUGUUAUUGUUUACUGUUUACACAAACUUCUCUAUCUCUGCUGAAGUUCAAAAGUUUGACUGAAUCAAGCCUGUUAUUUCAAAACUAUAAUCGGAUUAUGUUGUAAUCGCAGCGAACUUACAAACAG